rnacentral:rRNA from 1 species
UGCAGUCGAACGGACUAUUGUGAAAGAGUAAUCGGAUUAAUAGUUAGUGGCGAACGGGUGAGGAAUGGAUAGGUAACAUACCUCGGGCUCCGGAAUAGCUCAUCGAAAGGUGGGGUAAUGCCGGAUGAUGUCCUGUGUUUAAUACGCGGGACCAAAGAUUUAUCGGCCCCUGAGUGGCCUAUUCCCUAUCAGCUUGUUGGUGAGGUAACGGCUCACCAAGGCGACGACGGGUAGCGGGACUGAGAGGUUGACCCGCCACAUCGGAACUGAGACACUGUCCGGACCUCCACGGAGGGCUGCAGUAACGAAUAUUGGGCAAUGGGCGAAAGCCUGACCCAGCAAUGCCGCGUGUAGGAUGAAGCUUUUCGGAGUGUAAACUACUUUCAGGGAUUAGAAAGCUACGGUUGAUCAAUCCCAGAAGAAGUCACGGCUAACUUCGUGCCAGCAGCCGCGGUAAUACGAAGGUGGCAAGCGUUAUUCGAAAUCACUGGGCUUAAAGGGCGCGUAGGCGGAUAUGCAAGUGUUAGGUGAAAUCCCUCGGCUUAACCGAGGAAUUGCUUAGCAAACUGCAUAUCUUGAGUCAAGUAGGGGUGUGUGGAACUCUUGGUGGAGCGGUGGAAUGCGUAGAUAUCAAGAGGAACGCCGAAGGUGAAGACAGCACACUGGACUUGUACUGACGCUGANGCGCGAAAGCGUGGGGAGCGAACAGGAUUUAGAUACCCUGGUAGUCCACGCCGUAAACGAUGUAUACUAGGUCGCGGAGGUUCUGACACCGUCGCGGUCGUAGCAA